GACAGAGGCCCCAAGCGUUAGGCGGAAUCACUGGGCUUAAAGCGUGUGUAGGCGGAUCGUUAAGUGUCUUGUGAAAUCCCACGGCUCACCCGUGGAACUGCUGGGCAUACUGGCGAUCUUGGGCCAACUAGGGGCAGCCGGAACAAGCGGUGGAGCGGUGAAAUGCGUAGAUAUUAGGAGGAACACCGGUGGCGAAGGCGCCACUCUGGGCCGAAACUGACGCUGAGGCACGAAAGCGUGGGAGUCAAACAGG
rnacentral:rRNA from 1 species